AAGCGGUCGGGGUAGCGGAAUCCCCCUGAUGAGAGCUUUUGUUGGCUCGAAACCGCUA
rnacentral:hammerhead_ribozyme from 15 species